rnacentral:rRNA from 1 species
CGGGUGAGUAACGCGUGGGCAACCUACCGUAUACAGGGGAUAACACUUAGAAAUAGGUGCUAAUACCGCAUAAGCGCACAGCAGUGCAUACUGGAGUGUGAAAAGCCGAGACGGUAUACGAUGGGCCCGCGUCUGAUUAGCCAGUUGGCAGGGUAACGGCCUACCAAAGCGACGAUCAGUAGCCGGCCUGAGAGGGCGGACGGCCACAUUGGGACUGAGACACGGCCCAGACUCCUACGGGAGGCAGCAG